UGAUGUGAGUUUGUGAUUAACAAGUUUAAGAAUGGUAUGUUGCAGAAAUUCUGGCAGAUGCGAAUGUAAGCUUGAUGGCAUCAUUUUCAUAUAACUGCUUGAAAUGCAUAUAUACCACUAUCAGCAUUGAGCGUCUCGUGAACUGUCAAAUGUCAUAUAGGCCUCACACAGUUGAAAAUAGUGAAAAAAGUAAUCGGUUGACAGGUCUGCAUCUCGUAAGAUAUCGGAAGACGUCUGACUUGGCCACAUCGCUCUGAAGUCCUAAGUACUAGAAAAAACCGCCAUCUGCUACCUUAAAGACAUUUGUCAAUUUUUGUCUGCAUCUCGUAAGAUAUCGGAAGACGUCUGACUUGGCCACAUCGCUCGAAGUCCGAAGUACUAGAAAAAACC